CACUACCGUUUAAGCCUCGAAACAAGCAAAAUAGCUCGCAAAUCGCAAAGAUUUCGUCGAUUUUGACGAAAACUAACUGUCAUUUCCUUCCCGUUGGAGAUAUUUCGACGUUUAAGCGCUCGUUGAACUCCAUUUUACACUGCAAAUGCAAUGCACUACCGCUUAAGCGUCGAAACAAGCAAAAUAGCUCCCAAAUCGCGAAGAUUUCGUCGAUUUCGAUGAAAUCUAGCUGUCAUUUCCUUCCCGUUGGAGAUAUCUUGAAGUUUAAGCGCUCUUUGAACACUAUUUUACACUGCAAAUGCAAUGCACUACCGUUUAAGCGUCGAAACAAGCAAAAUAGCACGCAAAUCGCGAAGAUUUCGUCGAUUUCGAUGAAAUCUAGCCGUCAUUUCCUUCCCGUUGGAGAUAUUUCGACGUUUAAGAGCUCGUUGAACUACACUUUACACUGCAAAUGCAAUGCACUAACGUUUAAGCGUCGAAACAAGCCCAACAGCUCGCAAAUCGCAAUGAUUUUGUUGAUUUUGACGAAAACUAGUCGACAUUCCCUUCCCGUUGGAGGUAUUUCGACAUUUAAGAGCUCAUUUCACUCCAUUUGACACGACAAAGAUAAUGCACUCCGGUUUCAGCGUCGAAACAAGCCCAACAGCCGGAAAAUCGCGAUGAUUUCGUCGAUUUUGACGAAAACUAACCGUCAUUUCCCUCCCGUUGGAUAUAUUUCGACCUUUAAGCGGUCAUUUCGCUCCAUUUUACACGACAAAUAUAAUACCCACAGGUUUCAGCGUCGAGACAAGCCCAACAGCUCGCAAAUCGCGAUGAUUUCGUCGAUUUUGACGAAAACUAGCCGUCAUUUCCCUCCCGUUGGAGAUAUUUCGACGUUUAAGCGCACGUUUCACUCUAUUUUACACGCCAAAUGUAAUGCACUCCGGUUUCAGUGUCGAAACAAGCCCAACAGCCGGAAAAUCGCGAUGAUUUCGUCGAUUUUGACGAAAAUUUGUCGCUACUUCUUUCCCGUUGGAGAUAUUUCGACGUUUAAGCGCUCAUUUCACUCCAUUUUACACGGCAAAUGUAAUGCAUACUGGUUUCAGCGUCGAAACAAGCAGAACAGCUCGCAAAUUGCGAUGAUUUCGUCGAUUUUGACGAAAAUUAGUUGUUAUUUCCUCCCCGUUGGAGAUAUUUCGACGUUUAAGCGCUCAUUUCACACCAUUUUACACUGCAAAUGUGAUGCACGCCCGCUUCAGCAUCGAAACAAGCUGUCACGUCCCGCGGUACGCACGUGCCGUAACACAAGACGGAACACCGCAAAAUACAAAUAUGGCGAGUGACAAUUCGAAUAUUCAAAGGGAAUGAACGAUACAACGAAAGUGGGAAUUUUUUAAUACAAGAUUAAUCAAAUGUUAUCAAAUAUAGAGAAUUGGUAUACGAGGCAAAUAACAUAUAAUAAAGUAAAAAUUGGUACUCUAACGAAAUAGUAAAUAUAAAGAGUACAACAUAACCUAUAAUUUCACAAUUCGACUAAGGAUUAACUAUGAAGAACCAAUUAACCAAAAGUGACUCGCAAAUUAAUUAAUAAAUCACGACAUAAUACUAUAUUCAAUCAGGAUAUCGUACAAUUCGACAAUUUAAUCAAAUCUCGUAAUAACUUCAUGAAUAAUUCAAAGGAAAGGAAAAAGGAAUGGAACGAUAGGAAUACACACCUUUAUAACAAAAAGGAAAUAUCAAGCAAUUUAAUAUACAGCAAAUAUGGACAUACAAAACCACAAUAAACAAAAUAUAUCUUAUAUACAACUAGAUAUAAAAUACAUAAAGCACCUAGGCAUAUUAACACACUUCAAUAAACCAGGCACUAUUGUGAGAAUCCACACACGAAACGUCAAGAUUAAAGUAAAAGGGAUUCCACGAACAAUACACACGAACAAGUAACACAAUCGAAACAGACCACAAGAACGAUUUCAAGAGACAACGUAGUACGGUAGUAUAUGGAACAACACUGCUUGUCGAAUACUGCAGAUAGUGGUAAC